rnacentral:rRNA from 1 species
CUACGGGAGGCAGCAGUAAGGAAUAUUGGACAAUGGGCGAAAGCCUGAUCCAGCAACGCCGCGUGAGGGAUGACGGCCUUCGGGUUGUAAACCUCUUUCAGUAGGGACGAAGCGCAAGUGACGGUACCUACAGAAGAAGCACCGGCCAACUACGUGCCAGCAGCCGCGGUAAUACGUAGGGUGCGAGCGUUGUCCGGAAUUAUUGGGCGUAAAGGGCUCGUAGGCGGUUUGUCACGUCGGGAGUGAAAACUCAGGGCUUAACCCUGAGCCUGCUUCUGAUACGGGCAGACUAGAGGUAUGCAGGGGAGAACGGAAUUCCUGGUGUAGCGGUGAAAUGCGCAGAUAUCAGGAGGAACACCGGUGGCGAAGGCGGUUCUCUGGGCAUUACCUGACGCUGAGGAGCGAAAGUGUGGGGAGCGAACAGGAUUAGAUACCCUAGUAGUCC